CUCAUACUCCCUCCGUUUUACAAUACAUGCCUUCUAUUUAUCAAAAUAUAGAUGUAUCUAAACAUAUUUUAGUAUAUAGGUACAUCUAUUUUUAGACAAAUGAAAGUCAAGUAUUUUAGAACAAAGGAUGUAGUUA
rnacentral:pre_miRNA from 1 species